rnacentral:rRNA from 1 species
GUCGAACGAGAGACCUUCGGGUCUCUAGUGGCGAACGGGUGAGUAACACGUUAAAAACCUGCCCGCGCACCGGGAAUACGCUCUGGAAACCGUGAACAAAUCCCGAUGUACAGGAAGGAGGCAUCUUCUUUCUGUGAAACAUCCUUUAGGGGAUGGGGCGCGGAUGGACCUGCGGUGCAUUAGUUGGUUGGCGGGGUAAAGGCCCACCAAGACGAUGAUGCAUAGCCGGCCUGAGAGGGCGGACGGCCACAUUGGGACUGAGACACGGCCCAGACUCCUGCGGGAGGCAGCAGCAGGGAAUUUUCGUCAAUGGGCGCAAGCCUGAACGAGCGAUGCCGCGUGAGUGAAGAAGGCCUUCGGGUCGUAAAGCUCUGUUGCGGGGGAAAAAAGGCAGCAUCAGGAAAUGGGUGCUGACUGAUGGUGCCCCGCCAGAAAGUCACGGCUAACUACGUGCCAGCAGCCGCGGUAAUACGUAGGUGGCGAGCGUUAUCCGGAAUGAUUGGGCGUAAAGGGUGCGCAGGCGGUCCUGCAAGUCUGGAGUGAAACGCAUGAGCUCAACUCAUGCAUGGCUUUGGAAACUGGAGGACUGGAGAGCAGGAGAGGGCGGUGGAACUCCAUGUGUAGCGGUAAAAUGCGUAGAUAUAUGGAAGAACACCAGUGGCGAAGGCGGCCGCCUGGCCUGUUGCUGACGCUGAGGCACGAAAGCGUGGGGAGCAAAUAGGAUUAGAUACCCUAGUAGUCCACGCCGUAAACGAUGAGGACCAAGUGUUGGGGGUGAAACC